UACGGGGGGAGCAAGCGUUGUUCGGAUUUACUGGGCGUAAAGCGCACGUAGGCGGAUCUUUAAGUCAGGGGUGAAAUCCCGAGGCUCAACCUCGGAACUGCCUUUGAUACUGGGGAUCUCGAGUCCGGAAGAGGUUGGUGGAACUCCGAGUGUAGAGGUGAAAUUCGUAGAUAUUCGCGAGAACACCAGUGGCGAAGGCGGCUCACUGGCCCGAUACUGACGCUGAGGCACGAAAGCGUGGGGAGCAAACAGG
rnacentral:rRNA from 1 species